rnacentral:rRNA from 1 species
GCGCGGCCGGGGGACGACCCGGGGACGCGCGUCCCGACGAGCUCCGAACAACCCUCUGGGCGCGGCGAGCGCCAAGGAAUCGAAGCGGAAGGGGCGGCCCCCCGCCCGGUGCGGCGGGGACCGGCCGCCCGUCUGUGAAUCUUUUAGACGACUCUCGGCGACGGAUAUCUCGGCUCUCGCAUCGAUGAAGAACGUAGCAAAUGCGAUACUUGGUGUGAAUUGCAGAAUCCCGUGAACCAUCGAGUCUUUGAACGCAAGUUGCGCCCGAGGCCACUCGGCCGAGGGCACGCCUGCCUGGGCGUCACGCCACCCAUCGCCCCCGCCCCCGCGGCAUUCCCAUGCCCGGGGCGGGGAGCGGAGAAUGGCCGUCCGUGCCCGAGCCCUCGGCGCGCGGUCGGCGGAAAAAGGAGGACACCGUGCGGCGCGACACGGCGUGUGGGGGUUGAGAGGCGAUCCGUCGCCGAUCGUACGUCGCGCCCGCAUUCCGCCGCGCGGAUCCACCCGCGGGACCAGACCCGCCCGCAGCCGCGGGCGCUCGGACCGCGACCCCAGUCAGG